rnacentral:rRNA from 1 species
CCUACGGGUGGCAGCAGUGGGGAAUAUUGGUCAAUGGGCGCAAGCCUGACCCAGCAACGCCGCGUGAAGGAAGAAGGCUUUCGGGUUGUAAACUUCUUUUGUCAGGGAAGAGUAGAAGACGGUACCUGACGAAUAAGCCACGGCUAACUACGUGCCAGCAGCCGCGUUCAUACGUAGGUGGCAAGCGUUGUCCGGAUUUACUGGGUGUAAAGGGAGUGUAGGCGGGUUGACAAGUCAGAUGUGAAAUCCUGCGGCUUAACCGCAGAACUGCAUUUGAAACUGUCGAUCUUGAGUACUGUGGAGGCAGAUGGAAUUCCUAGUGUAGCGGUGAAAUGCGUAGAUAUUAGGAGGAACACCAGUGGCGAAGGCGGUCUGCUGGACAGCAACUGACGGUGAGGCGCGAAAGCGUGGGGAGCAAACAGGAUUAGAUACCCCAGUAGUC